rnacentral:lncRNA from 1 species
UAACUUUAAUAAGGCCACACCAAUUUGAUUCCUUGUUCGAUGGACCCGCCCGCACCUAUUUUUUUCAAAACAGAUUUUUUUUAUUUUUUUUAUAUUCCCGCUUCCCGCAUCCGGAAAUGUAAUCAUGUCCAUUUCCCGCACAGUUUUUUUGUAAAUAUUAUAAAAAGAUAUCAACAUUUGUUUUUAAAUCACAGUCUAACCUGUAUAUAAUGAUUUUAAACAUAAAAGCACCCCUCCACACUUUGUAAAUAUCUGUGAGAAUAUUUGUUUCAGCAUGAAACCUAAUUAUCUAAAGCGGGAGUCCUCCGAUAUAAAUUUAUAUCAGCGGGAAUACCUGUAAAGAACAAAACAUUGGUUACUUUCGGUAUUGGGAUCGUUCGCCCUUAUAACAUGUUCGCCCUGGGUACGUUCGCCCUGAGUUCAUUCGCCCAGAGAGUCCGUUCGCCCUACUAAAAAAUAUUGAUAUUCAGGGCAUUGAAGUUGAAAAAACUUAUUCAGAUAUUUCUAUGGUAUAUAUUCUUGAAAUUUAUGGAAACGGGGAAAUAUUUAAAAGUUUAUGGCUUGUUUAGGAUCGUUAAUUGUUUAAUGAC